rnacentral:hammerhead_ribozyme from 1 species
AUCCGGCUGACGAAUCCCAAAUAAGACGAAACGCGCUUCCUGGAU